rnacentral:tRNA from 1 species
GGCUCGGUAGCUCAGUUGGUAGAGCAACGGAUUGAAGCUCCGUGUGUCGGCGGUUCGACUCCGUCUCGAGCCA